CUCGUUUGAGCGGGUUGCUGGGUCUCAUUGCUUCGUUUUGGUGAAGAAUUUGCGGCUUUUUUUAUCUCGAUCUGAUUGCUACAUCGGAGAAGGAUAGUUGUGAAGCUCUGAAAUGCUGGAUCUUCUAGCGAGGUACUCGAAAAAAGCUUGAAUUUUGAGUAUGGUGUUGUCUUUGCCUGUUGCCUCCUGAAACUAAGUAAAAGUUGAAGGCUUUUCGUGGUUGUUUCCUCCAUCAUCUGGCAACUUGACAGCAGUGUAUAUUCCAGCUCCACAAAGCGCGCCAAGUAUGGGAGCGGUGAGGUAAAUCCAAAUGCCUCUGUACUUUCCUGCUGCUAUGGCCGGUCCCAAUGUCCUUACUGGAUUCAUUGAAGCUCCUGUGGUUGGCCUGUGCAAUGAAACAGAAAGAGAUGCCCCUGUGGCUCAUAUUGAUUUCUAUGUUCCGUAGUUUCCAAAACUGACUCAACAAUAUUUCCUUUUCCUUUCUCUGGUCUAUCAAGUCUGUCCCUUUCAGUGGUUUUAUGUAUUUGUAUGAGCAUGAGCUAAGGACGAAAAGUAAGUUUUAUCACGUUUGUUCAUCAGUAUCCAAGAGAGGUUUUUAUUCUUAUUGAUAUCAAUGUGCUUUCAUGCUGUUUUUUUUUUUUUUGUUUUCCUCAAGCUCCUUUGGCUUGAUGGAGUAAUUUUGUCUCGAAACACACAGACAGCAGUAUUUAUGUCAACGUUGCCUGUUGCCUGAAAUACACAGAGAUACAGUCUUAAGGUAUUACAUAUUCAGCAUGCAGGAAAGUCCUUUUGUGUUGGUCACACAGAACUUCUCGGGCAUUGGUAUCUUCGGAGGUCUAAUAGAUUUCCAUACGAGAUAAGUAUGGACAAUACCUAAUUUUGCCGGCUUGGAUUGAUUUUUACUUCUCGUUUUUUGCUUAAUCUAAAGGUGAUUUACAAGCUGAGUUGGUGGUGGAAAUCUUGGAAAUCAUUUGCAUUUUUGUGGCAUGUAUUUAGGACAAUAAAAGUUCCAUAAUCAAUUAAAAUCUAAAACCACUAGAAAUUCUGAGUUACCCGGCGAUGAGGAUGUUGAGCAUAACGGUAGCUCCCACUGCGAUUCCCGACAACUCUCCAACCUGCGUGUACAUUUUCAAUCGAAAAUUGAUUAACUAUGCCGAUGGGUAGGCGAAUGGAUCUUUCAUUCUAUUUCAUUUUGUUCAUAUGUGCAAGUGUUCCUUUUACUCGUGAAACAAACAGCAGACAAGAGAACUUGAGAUCAGGAAUAUUAUAAGUGCAAGCGACCAUGCGUUGCUGCAUCUAUUACUGUUCAGUUACCUCGAUUAUAGAGAGAGGAAAGAGCCAGCUUCCUUUUAGAUACCUGAUGUUUUUUACCAUGGGCACGUGAGAGCCUGAGAGGUCAAUCUCUGCACUGGUUUGAAUUUUAAUUUCUUUGCAGUAUUACUGUGCCAAAGUGGCACUUGCAUUUGACCAUUAUUUGUGGAUUUCGAGGAAAUGCAGAAGGAAACACCGAAGAUGUCUCCUUUUCCUCGGAUUAAACUAAGAUGAAUUGUCUUGCAUCGAGGACACAAUGCAUGUUGUAUCCAAUUAAUCACAGAUCUGCACACCUAUAAGGAAAUAAUAUCCACCCGCAUAAAUGAGGACUGACUGGACAAAGAUCAUGUAAAGAUCAUGUGCAGUAUCAGUGAGAUGGUCAUCAUCACAGAAACCUUCGCUUUGAACCGAAAUGAAGACUGACUGGACAAAGUGAUGGCGAUGAGUCCAAUUAUUUGUUCUUUCGGAGUUGUGAUGGCUUGUUUAUGAGGACUGAUAUUUCAGACAAAACAAAAGAGAGUAGUUACAAACACGAAGAGUCCCUUACAGCUCUAGUGUCGGUGGCCACUGCAGUGACAACCAACAUGAGGUUGAAGCUGAUGAUAAACUCCAGAGCAAAAGCUUGACCAUCACUAACACCUGCUGCAGGAACAGUCACUCCUCCGCCCAUUACCGGGUGAAAUAUCCCUUUCAGCGCAAACGCCGCACACAGCGAGGCCACUGCCUGUGCUCCAAUGUAAACAGGCACCUAUACCCGAACGAAAUUAAAGCAAAACUAUCAGUACCUGCAGAACAUUUUUCGUAUUAGUAAAUUAUGAUAUCUUGGUAACUUCUAUACAUGUUUCCAUGGGAAGUGCUUGAGAGCUGCAAAGGAAAUGGUGAGAGCCGGGUUGAGAUGGGCUCCGGAGAUGUGGCCGGUCGCAAGUAUCACAAUCAUGACUGCGAGACCCGAGGAGGCGGCAAGGCCGAGGAGUGUCUCCGAUCCAUUAGUCUUCUGGUUCACUAUGGGUGUGGCUGUUCCAGCAAAUACUAGUAUGAGGGUGCCAAUGAAUUCUGCUCCCACCUGGUUUUUGCAAUGGCACAGGAUUCAUACGAGGCAAUGAAAAUAAUGGGGCAGUUUAAAAAUCGAAUUUUUUAACACAAUGAGUACCUUUCUUGCAAGUGAAACAGGUGGGUGUAGCAAUGAGCUAGACAGAGAUCUGGGCAUUCCUCCUUCCAUGGACCAAGGUUCCACAGAGAAGCAACCAGAGCUGUUCCUGAGAAGUGACUUCCUUCCAUGACUUCUCACUGCCUUAUGAUCACCUCCAAAGAGUGGAGCUCCAGGAGUGCCUGGAGUAACAGGAGUUGAAGGAGCUGAUGGGACUUCCUCAUUCUCCAUUUUUGAGUUUCCAACUUCACUUCAGAUAAGCUGUAAGAAGUACUCUUUUGGGAACCAGUUAUGCAACAACCAGUAGGUGGGUAAGUACUGAAGCUUUGGGUACUUGUUUGUAACUUGUUUUGAAAAGCAAUAACUCUGGCUGCAGGUAUUUAAAGUAGGAGAAAGAUGGGUUGACUUGGAGAAUCCCAAGACAGCGAGUGAGAGAAGAGAGAGAGAGCAAUUAGUGGUUGGAACUGGAGAUGCAUGAAUAAAAAUUGCCAUGUAAAAUUGUCUUGUUUUUCGACAAAAAAAAAUUGUCUUGUUUA